rnacentral:rRNA from 1 species
GACAGAGGGUGCAAACGUUGUUCGGAAUUACUGGGCGUAAAGCGCGUGUAGGCGGCCCUGCAAGUCGGAUGUGAAAUCCCACGGCUCAACCGUGGAAGUGCAUUCGAAACUGCAGGGCUAGAGUCCUGGAGAGGAAGGUGGAAUGCUUGGUGUAGAGGUGAAAUUCGUAGAUAUCAAGCGGAACACCGGUGGCGAAGGCGGCCUUCUGGACAGUGACUGACGCUGAGACGCGAAAGCGUUGGGAGCAAACAGG